rnacentral:rRNA from 1 species
UAUAGUUGAAGGGCCGCGGUAUUCUGACCGUGCAAAGGUAGCAUAAUCGUUAGUUCCUUAAUUGGGAUCUCGUAUGAAUGGUUGGACAAAGCAAAAGCUGUCUCUGUAGUUAAUAUUGAAUUUAACUUUUAAGUGAAAAGGCUUAAAUACGUUAGGGGGACGAUAAGACCCUAUAAAGCAUUUUAUUGGGGCGAUAAAAGUAAAAUUAAUAACUGCUUUAACAGUAAACACAAGUAGGUGAAAUGAUCCUGAAUAAAGAUUAUGAGAUUAAGUUACUUUAGGGAUAACAGCGUUAUUUUUCUUGAGAGUUCUUAUCGAAAGAAAAGCUUGCGACCUCGAUGUUGAAUUAAAAUUUCUCUUCAAUUGUAGCAGUUGAGGAAGAAGGUCUGUUCGACCUUUAAAAUUUU